GCUGGGCAUGGUGGUGCAUGCCUGUAAUCCCAGCUACUCAGGAAGCUGAGGCAGGAGAAUUGCUUGAACCCGGGAGGCUGAGCUUGCAAUGAGCCGAGAUAGUGCCAUUGCACUCCAGCCUGGGUGACAGAACGAGACUCCGUCUCAA
rnacentral:sRNA from 1 species